rnacentral:rRNA from 1 species
GCGCGAAAACUUUACAAUGCUGGCAACAGUGAUAAGGGAACCUCGAGUGCCAGGUUACAAAUCUGGCUGUCGAGAUGCCUCAAAAGCAUUUCAUAGCAAGGGCCGGGCAAGACCGGUGCCAGCCGCCGCGGUAACACCGGCGGCUCGAGUGGUAACCGUUAUUAUUGGGUCUAAAGGGUCUGUAGCCGGCCGGAUAAGUCUCUUGAGAAAUCUGGCAGCUUAACUGUCAGGCUUUCAGGAGAUACUGUCUGGCUCGAGGCCGGGAGAGGUGAGAGGUACUUCAGGGGUAGGGGUGAAAUCUUGUAAUCCUUGAAGGACCACCAGUGGCGAAGGCGUCUCACCAGAACGGACCUGACGGCAAGGGACGAAAGCUAGGGGCACGAACC